rnacentral:rRNA from 1 species
CCUACGGGUGGCAGCAGUGAGGAAUAUUGGUCAAUGGGCGCAGGCCUGAACCAGCCAAGUCGCGUGAGGGAAGACUGCCCUAUGGGUUGUAAACCUCUUUUAUAAGGGAAGAAUAAUGACUACGUGUAGUCAGAUGCCCGUACCUUAUGAAUAAGCAUCGGCUAACUCCGUGCCAGCAGCCGCGGUAAUACGGAGGAUGCGAGCGUUAUCCGGAUUUAUUGGGUUUAAAGGGUGCGUAGGCGGACAGUCAAGUCAGCGGUAAAAAUGCGGUGCUCAACGCCGUACAGCCGUUGAAACUGGCAGUCUUGAGUGGGCGAGAAGUAUGCGGAAUGCGUGGUGUAGCGGUGAAAUGCAUAGAUAUCACGCAGAACUCCGAUUGCGAAGGCAGCAGACCGGCGCCCGACUGACGCUGAGGCACGAAAGCGUGGGUAUCGAACAGGAUUAGAUACCCGUGUAGUC